CAGUAACGGCGAGUGAAGCGGCAACAGCUCAAAUUUGAAAUCUGGCUCCUUCGGGGUCCGAGUUGUAAUUUGUAGAGAGUGCUUCGGGCGAGACCUCGGUCUAAGUCCAUUGGAACAUGGUGUCAUAGAGGGUGAGAAUCCCGUAUGCGACCGUGGCUCGAGCCCAUGUGAAGCCUCUUCGACGAGUCGAGUUGUUUGGGAAUGCAGCUCAAAACGGGUGGUAAAUUUCAUCUAAAGCUAAAUACUGGCUGGAGACCGAUAGCGCACAAGUAGAGUGAUCGAAAGAUGAAAAGCACUUUGGAAAGAGAGUCAAACAGUACGUGAAAUUGUUGAAAGGGAAGCGCUUGCAACCAGACCUGCCCGUAGGCGAUCAGCCGCUGUUCUCAGCGGUGCACUCGCUCUGCGAUCAGGCCAGCAUCGGUUUCGGCGGUCGGAUAAAGGCCUUGGGAAUGUAGCUUCCCUUCGGGGGAGUCUUAUAGCCCUCGGUGCAAUGCGGCCAGCCGGGACCGAGGACCGCGCUUCGGCUAGGAUGCUGGCGUAAUGGUUGUAAGCGACCCGUCUUGAAACACGGACCAAGGAGUCUAACAUCUAUGCGAGUGUUUGGGUGUCAAACCCAUACGCGGAAUGAAAGUGAACGGAGGUGAGAACCCUUAAGGGCGCAUCAUCGACCGAUCCAGAUGUCUUCGGAUGGAUUUGAGUAUGAGCAUAGCUGUUGGGACCCGAAAGAUGGUGAACUAUGCCUGAAUAGGGUGAAGCCAGAGGAAACUCUGGUGGAGGCUCGCAGCGGUUCUGACGUGCAAAUCGAUCGUCAAAUUUGGGUAUAGGGGCGAAAGACUAAUC
rnacentral:rRNA from 1 species